CUGCACUUCCUGAAAGCCCAUCACCCUACGGUAGGUAUAGAGUAAAUGUGGAAGUAGUCUCAGUGGGUAGGAUAGGCUCAAUCGGUAGGGUAGCCUCAGUGGGUACGGUCGGCUCAAUGGGUACAAUGUUUGCUGUGUGAGCCUGGAGACCUGAGUUCAAGUCUCAGAACCCAUAUAAUAAACUAGCACUCCCCACCCCCUGGAAGUGGUGGUGCAUACCUUUGGUCCCAGCACUCAGGAGGCAGAGGCAGGUGGAUCUCUGAGUAAGGAGAGAGUAAGAAAUGCUUGAGAAAGCAGACUCUACCAGGCCCUGUACACAUACAUUUGAUCCUAGCACUUGGGAGGCAGAGGCAGGCAAAUCUCUGUGAGUUGCAGGCCAGCCUGGUCUAUAUAAGGAGUUCAUCAAGGCCAGCCUGGGUGACACAGUAAGGUCCUUUCUCAAAAAAAAAAAAAAAAAAAAAAAAAAGAAUGACUGGUAAAUAGACAGGUAAGCAAGCAGACUUGGGUUAGUCUGGGAAUAUAGCUCAGUUAGAGUACACGCACAGAGCCCUGGAGUCCAUCCACAGAACCACAUAAACUGAGCCUGGUAGUGAGUGCAUGGCUAUAAUAAUCCCAGGAUCAAGAAUUCAGUGUCACACCAUUGCAUACACUAGCAAGCGUUUGCUGAAAGGACCCUGAUAUAGCUGUCUCUUUUGAGACUAGGCCGGGGCCUAGCAAACACAGAAGUGGAUGCUCACAGUCAGCUAUUGGAUGGAUCACAGGGCCCCCAAUGGAGGAGCUAGAGAAAGUAUCCAAGGAGCUAAAGAGAUCUGCAACCCUGCAGGUGCAACAACAUUAUAAACUAACCAGUACCCGGAGCUCUUGACUCUAGCUGCAUAUGUAUCAAAAG
rnacentral:lncRNA from 1 species